CAGAAUAGAAUAAACCCAAAUGCAUAGAACCUUUAAGAUAUAUGAGAACAUGUAAAGAAGCAGUCAUAUGAGGGACCCUGGGACACUUCAAGUAUUGACUCAGAUGCUGAACAACAAAGCAGAUGCCAGGCCUGGUGUGAGUCAAAAAUAAGAGCUUACCAACAAUGCUCCUAUAUUGAUCAGGGGAGGAAAGAAUGUCUCCAGAAUCAGCAUGGAGUUUUACAUUAAGAUCCAAAGGGCAAACAACAGGAGAAACAUUCAUACAGUCAAACUGAUGCAAUAGGUNNNNNNNNNNNNGUAUCCAUGGAGUUUCACAUUAAGAUCCAAAGGACAAAUAACAGGAGAAACAUUCAUAAAGUCAAACUGAUGCAACAGGUCAUAAACAUAUUUAUGCUGAUUAAGGAGCAUCCCACCAGGAACUACAGACAUCUCAAUGCCCAG
rnacentral:lncRNA from 1 species